rnacentral:rRNA from 1 species
GACGAACGCUGGCGGCGUGCCUAAUACAUGCGAGUCGAGCGGACGGAUGGGAGCUUGCUACCAGACCGUCAGCGGCGGACGGGUGAGUAACACGUGGGCAACCUGCCUGUAAGACUGGGAUAACUCCGGGAAACCGGGGCUAAUACCGGAUAACUCUUUCCCUCACAUGAGGGAAAGCGGAAGGUUGCAUUCUCGCAUUCAUUUACGAAUGGCCCCGCGGCGCAUUAGCUAGUUGGUGAGGUAACGGCUCACCAAGGCGACGAUGCGUAGCCGACCUGAGAGGGUGAUCGGCCACACUGGGACUGAGACACGGCCCAGACUCCUACGGGAGGCAGCAGUAGGGAAUCUUCCGCAAUGGACGAAAGUCUGACGGAGCAACGCCGCGUGAGUGAUGAAGGUUUUCGGAUCGUAAAACUCUGUUGUCAGGGAAGAACAAGUACCGGAGUAACUGCCGGUACCUUGACGGUACCUGACCAGAAAGCCACGGCUAACUACGUG